AUUUGAAAUGCUAUGAAGAUAAAUGAUGCCAAAGUUUUUCCCUUUGUGAAUGUUUUCCUUAUUCAUAUGCAUUUUCUGAUUUGGAAAGGGAAAGUGAUUUUAAACAUUUUCUAAGUUAAGGGAUUAUAACAUACAUUGGGGCCUAGAAGAAUCUCAAUGAUCAAUAGCUAGCAGACAAGCUUUGCAAGCCCCAUUAACAUUUUGUUUUUAUUCUUUAGGAAGAUAAUAAGUAAUAGUAAUGGAACAAUUUUUAGAUUAAUCAGAUCCUUAGGGAGUUCUUAGGGAGUUCCCAGUGCCUAUUGGGCCUGAAAACAUUGCUCUACUACAUUUUUGUCUCUACACUCCCUCCUCCAUUUCAGAAGGACCUAGAGUUCCCAUGUUACCGCCUACUGCCAUCAGAGUUGAAUUUUGUGACACCUCUACUAGGCAGAGUGAAAGUUUAGUGCUGCUAGGAUGAUGGAAGUUUUGGGUCAAGAAGGAUGUGAAAGAAGUGCUGAUUUGUUUUAAUGCAGUUGGGAACCCCAUACCAUGUGAUCAGCCACGUGCCUAUCCAAGAGAAUGUAAUGGCUAGGAGGCUAUUUGUAAAUUAUUGAAUGGUAGCCAUGGCCAAUUGAUCAGGAAAAAAGGGGAAAGAAAAAUGUAGUAGUAAAUCUACUUGGGUCAAACUGUUUUUGAAUAUUCUGUAAUUUAGCUAUUUGGAGAAAAAUAAAGCUAUUUGAUGUUAUUUUUAAUUUUUACUGUUUUUUCCUUUUCUUUUCCCCCCUUUUUGAAGUAGGACAGAAUUCAUUUUGCUGAGAUCAAAUAGUUGGGAUUAAGGCUGAGUUGAGUUGAGAUCUUUUCUUUUUCUUUGAUUGCAGGCAAUGCAGAGCUGUACUGCAAAGUUGGUGUACCUUUUGUAAUGGGAACUACAGGUGGGGACAGGGAAAGAUUGUACAAGACUGGAAGACUCAAAUGUUUAUGCUAUAAUCUCUCCAUAGAUGGGAAAAGAGGUUGUUGUAUUUCUUGCUGCUAUGGAGAUUAUGGCUGAACAAUUUCCUGGAGCCUUUUCAGGUUAUUCUUUACAACUCAAGUGUCAAAUAUCCAAGUUGGCCAAAGUCAGCCCUUACAAAGUGAGAAAACAAUAUUCUUUUAAAGAUUUUCACUUCAUUUUAUUUGAUCUUGUAUUUUGAGCAUUGACCAAUUUUUUACUGAUAAACAUAAUCUAUUCUCUAAAAAUUUAUAUGGUA